ensembl:snRNA U6 U6 spliceosomal RNA
AUGCUUUGGUGGCAUGUAUACUACAACUGGAACAAUAUAGAGAAGAUGAAUGUGACCCAUGAACAAGAAUGACACACAAAUUCCUGAAAUGUUUCAUAUUUUG